rnacentral:snRNA from 1 species
ACCACUGAUGAACAGUGUUGACAAAA